rnacentral:rRNA from 1 species
GCCAGACUCCUACGGGAGGCAGCAGUGAGGAAUAUUGGUCAAUGGCCGAGAGGCUGAACCAGCCAAGUCGCGUGAGGGAAGACGGCCCUACGGGUUGUAAACCUCUUUUGUCGGGGAGCAAAGCGAACCACGUGCGGUUCAUUGAGAGUACCCGAAGAAAAAGCAUCGGCUAACUCCGUGCCAGCAGCCGCGGUAAUACGGAGGAUGCGAGCGUUAUCCGGAUUUAUUGGGUUUAAAGGGUGCGCAGGCGGAGGUGCAAGUCAGCGGUCAAAUUGCGGGGCUCAACCCCGUACUGCCGUUGAAACUGCAUCCCGUGAGUGCGCGAGAAGUAUGCGGAAUGCGUGGUGUAGCGGUGAAAUGCAUAGAUAUCACGCAGAACUCCGAUUGCGAAGGCAGCAUACCGGCGCGCAACUGACGCUCAUGCACGAAAGCGUGGGUAUCGAACAGGAUUAGAUACCCCUGUA